GAUGAACGCUGGCGGCGUGCCUAAUACAUGCAAGUCGAGCGAACAGACGAGGAGCUUGCUCCUCUGACGUUAGCGGCGGACGGGUGAGUAACACGUGGAUAACCUACCUAUAAGACUGGGAUAACUUCGGGAAACCGGAGCUAAUACCGGAUAAUAUAUUGAACCGCAUGGUUCAAUAGUGAAAGACGGGUUUGCUGUCACUUAUAGAUGGAUCCGCGCCGCAUUAGCUAGUUGGUAAGGUAACGGCUUACCAAGGCAACGAUGCGUAGCCGACCUGAGAGGGUUAUCGGCCACACUGGAACUGAGACACGGUCCAGACUCCUACGGGAGGCAGCAGUAGGGAAUCUUCCGCAAUGGGCGAAAGCCUGACGGGGCAACGCCGCGUGAGUGAUGAAGGUCUUCGGAUCGUAAAACUCUGUUAUUAGUGAAGAACAAAUGUGUAAGUAACUAUGCACGUCUUGACGGUACCUAAUCAGAAAGCCACGGCUAACUACGUG
rnacentral:rRNA from 1 species